UUUUUUUUUUUUUUUUUUUUUUUAGGGUUGGGUGUUUUACUGUUGAGCUGCUCAGUGCCCAGCUUAGAGGACCAGGAAAAGGAGUCACCGGCCGUAUGCUGGAGGCUUGAGACACGGCACAGAGGCGCAGCUCGCCUCGCUAUGGUUGGUGGUGGCAGUGGAGAUUGCGAUUGCAGCGCGGCUGGAAGGUCCUUUAGGUUGUUUGAGGGACAUUGAUCAAGGAAACCGGAGAAACUUAAAAUGCUCUUCCGCUUCUUUGGAACAGUCACAGAGAAAAGUGAACUCCUUUCAUUCUUGCAGUAAUUUUUCUUGCUGAUGGGAACAGUUCAAGUCAAGUGACAUGAAGCCAUCAUUCUUUAGAGGGCAAUGACCAAACAGUACCAGCAGAAAUUGAAGUACCAGCAGAAGGCUAAGAAGGGAUCAUGGCACAAGCUGCAGUUUCCACCCUGCCCAUUGAAGAUGAGGAGUCCGUGGAAGAUGAGGAGUCCGUUGAAGAUGAGUCUGUUGAAGAUGAGUCCGCAGAGAACAGGAUGGUGGUGACAUUGCUCAUAUCAGCUCUUGAGUCCAUGAGUCUCUGUUUCACCCAAUCUGGAGUGCAAUGAUGCAGUCGUAGCUAACUGCAGCCUCAACCACCUGGGCUCAAGCAAUUCUCCCGCCUCAGCCUUCCAAGCAUCUGGGACUACAGAACUGCUCUACACUUGGCCUGUGCCAGUGGCCAUGUGCAAGUGGUCACUCUCCUGGUUAACAGAAAAUGCCAGAUUGAUGUCUGUGACAAAGAAAACAGAACGCCUUUGAUACAGGCUGUCCAUUGCCAGGAAGAGGCUUGUGCCGUUAUUCUGCUGGAACAUGGCGCCAAUCCAAACCUUAAGGAUAUCUACGGCAACACUGCUCUCCAUUAUGCCGUGUAUAGUGAGAGCACCUCACUGGCAGAAAAACUGCUUUCCCAUGGUGCACAUAUUGAAGCACUGGACAAGGACAAUAAUACCCCACUUUUAUUUGCUAUAAUUUGCAAGAAAGAGAAAAUGGUGGAAUUUUUAUUGAAAAGGAAAGCAAGUUCACAUGCCGUUGAUAGGCUGAGACGGUCAGCUCUCAUGCUUGCUGUAUACUAUGACUCACCAGGUAUUGUCAAUAUCCUUCUUAAGCAAAAUAUUGAUGUCUUCGCUCAAGACAUGUGUGGACGAGAUGCAGAAGAUUAUGCUAUUUCUCAUCAUUUGACAAAAAUUCAACAACAAAUUUUGGAACAUAAAAAGAAGAUACUUAAAAAGGAGAAAUCAGAUGUUGGAAGUUCUGAUGAAUCUGCAGUCAGCAUUUUCCAUGAACUGCGUGUGGAUUCAUUGCCUGCAUCGGAUGACAAAGACUUGAAUGUUGCUACUAAGUGUGUCCCCGAGAAAGUGUCAGAGCCUUUACCUGGAUCUUCGCAUGAAAAAGGAAACAGAAUAGUCAAUGGACAAGGAGAAGAACAAGCCUUACCAGUGGCUUCAGAGGAAGAGCAAGAAAGGCAUGAAAGAAGUGAAAAGAAGCAACCACAGGUCAAAGAAGGAAAUAAUACAAACAAAAGUGAAAAAAUACAACUUUCAGAAAAUAUAUGUGAUAGUACAUCUUCUGCUGCUGCUGGCAGAUUAACCCAACAAAGAAAGAUUGGGAAAACGUAUCCUCAGCAAUUUCCCAAGAAGCUGAAGGAAGAGCAUGAUAGAUGCACCUUAAAACAAGAAAAUGAAGAAAAAACAA
rnacentral:lncRNA from 1 species